rnacentral:rRNA from 1 species
CCUACGGGAGGCAGCAGUCGAGAAUCAUUCACAAUGGGGGAAACUCUGAUGGUGCGACGCCGCGUGGGGGAAUGAAGGUCUUCGGAUUGUAAACUCCUGUCAUGUGGGAGCAAAUCAAAAAGAUAGUACCACUAGAGGAAGAGACGGCUAACUCUGUGCCAGCAGCCGCGGUAAUACAGAGGUCUCAAGCGUUGUUCGGAAUCACUGGGCGUAAAGCGUGCGUAGGCUGUUUCGUAAGUCGUGUGUGAAAGGCGCGGGCUCAACCCGCGGACGGCACAUGAUACUGCGAGACUAGAGUAAUGGAGGGGGGACCGGAAUUCUCGGUGUAGCAGUGAAAUGCGUAGAUAUCGAGAGGAACACUCGUGGCGAAGGCGGGUUCCUGGACAUUAACUGACGCUGAGGCACGAAGGCCAGGGGAGCGAAAGGGAUUAGAUACCCCAGUAGUC